rnacentral:rRNA from 1 species
UGGGGAAUAUUGGACAAUGGGGGGAACCCUGAUCCAGCCAUGCCGCGUGUGUGAAGAAGGCCUUAUGGUUGUAAAGCACUUUAAGCGAGGAGGAGGGUACUGGUAUUAAUACUACCAGGUACUGGACGUUACUCGCAGAAUAAGCACCGGCUAACUCUGUGCCAGCAGCCGCGGUAAUACAGAGGGUGCGAGCGUUAAUCGGAUUUACUGGGCGUAAAGCGUGCGUAGGCGGCUAAUUGAGUCGGAUGUGAAAUCCCCGAGCUUAACUGGGGAAUUGCAGUCGAUACUGGUUAGCUAGAGUGUGGGAGAGGAGGGUAGAAUUCAAGGUGUAGCGGUGAAAUGCGGAGAGAUCAGGAGGAAUACAGAUGGAGAAGGCAGCCAUCUGGCCUAACACUGACGCUGAGGUACGAAGGCAUGGGGAGCAAACAGG